rnacentral:rRNA from 1 species
UAAAUCACAAUGCGGAACUAUUAGUUUUGCAAUUGGAUUGAGAACAAUGUACAAAUGUUAUCGAUAAACAAUUGGAGGGCAAGUCUGGUGCCAGCAGCCGCGGUAAUUCCAGCUCCAAUAGCGUAUAUUAACGUUGUUGCAGUUAAAAAGCUCGUAGUUGAAUUGAAGUGAACUUGGGUUGAUGUGAUCUUCGGAUGACAUGAAUCAAAGUUGACUCUUUCCAAAGUCAAUACAUUGGUAUUCAUUUAUCUUUGUAUUGUGUUUGGUCAUUUACUGUGAGAAAAUUAGAGUGUUCAAAGCAGACGUUUGUUUGAAUACAUUAGCAUGGAAUAAUCAUAUAUGGCUUUCAUGUUGAUUUGAUUGGUUUGAAUAUGGAAGCAAGAUUAAAAGGGACAGUUGGGGGUAUUCAUAUUCAAUAGUCAGAGGUGAAAUUCUGG